rnacentral:rRNA from 1 species
UACGUAGGGUGCGAGCGUUAAUCGGAAUUACUGGGCGUAAAGCGUGCGCAGGCGGCGCGUUAAGACAGGUGUGAAAGCCCCGAGCUUAACUUGGGAAUUGCGCUUGUGACUGGCGAGCUGGAGUGUGGCAGAGGGAAGUGGAAUUCCCGGUGUAGUGGUGAAAUGCGUAGAUAUCGGGAGGAACACCAGUGGCGAAGGCGACUUCCUGGCCUGUUCUUGACGCUGAGGCGCGAAAGCUAGGGUAGCAAACGGG